CUCUGUGGUGAAUCUGCGGCCAGCCUGCUCCGUAUAGUGAGUUUCGGGGCAACCAAAGCUACGGAGUGAGACCCUGUCUUAAAAAAAACAAAACUAACCAAAAGAAAAAAAAAAUUGCUCAUGGUUCAGCAACCUGAUAAAAAGCUCAGUAAAAUAGGAACGGAUGAACACUUCAGCAUGCUGGAGUAACCUCACUGCCUUGUGCUUGGUGGGGAAAUACCAGAGACAGCAGCACUAACGGCCAAAGCGACAGGCAUGCUCUCUGUCACGAUUACUGACCAGCUAAAGACACCAGCAGUCAUGGCCUCCCCCACGUCCGUACAGAGCAGCAGGCCGGCACUUGCUCUUGUGAUUGUUCGUGCGGGUAACCAGCAUCCAGGCCAUCCCUACAAAGUGAACCCGGGUGAGAGGGACAACAGCUUUGAACUCUUGAGAAGUCGAACUUUAGCCAACUCCCUUGUUUCGAGCUUGAAGAAUCUCUGAGUAUCUCGAGCUCAACUCGGGUCAGCGGCAGAAGGUGAUAAGCAGCCAUCAAGGCGGUAGUAGAGGAAACAGGAUUCUUCAGCUCUCCCAACAGGGUUUCUUUUGCUUGCCUAGUGGAGUUCCCCUUCCUAUGCCCACCUCAAAAAUAAAUAAAUAAAUGCACCCAGAGAAAAAGAAAAGGAAAUAAAGGCUUUAUCACCUGGAAAUGGUCCUUGUGAAGAUUAGCAACAGAGGGAACACCACAGGCACAGGAAACAGCUGUACCCACGGUGCCCAAGAAAGCCAGUCUCCUGCCGACCCUUCCCACCGCAAAAACAACUUCGCUGAGUCAUAUGGAGUUUGAGAAGAUCAGCUCUUUGUAUCUGACCUGCCAACCUCACCGGGCAACCGAAAAGACAUAUUUACUACUGCUCAUAAUUCAGGCUCCCCAAUAGCCUGGGUUGGGGUGAAUUUCAGGAGGAAAUGCCUCCAUAAUGUUCCUUUUUAGAAGAGUAAAAAGCAAAACAAAGCAAAACCAGCAAGAGAGAACAUCUACCCUGUCAGGAUGUUGUCACAGAGCACAGCUGUCCGUUGUAAGUUGGACAGCGUCUUACUUUGUAACCAGCCUAGCCUCCAGCUUGUCUUCGUCCAGGCUCAGCCCAAGACCUGGCAGAUGGACGUCACCAAGCCAGGUUCACUGAACACCUACCCAUCUAGUCAAUAUUUAAAGCCUUUCAAGAAAGACAGAACCAGGCCUGCUAGAUGGCUCAGAAUGUAAAAGUGCUUGCCACCAAGCCUGACAACCUGAGUUUGACCCCCAGAAGGAGAACUGACUUCUGAAAGUUGUCAUCUGGUCUCAUGUGCUGUGUGGUGUGAACACACGCAUGCCCAAUAAGUAAAAAUGCAGAAAGGAUAA